rnacentral:rRNA from 1 species
AAUGGCUCAUUAAAUCAGUUAUCGUUUAUUUGAUAGUACCUUACUACUUGGAUAACCGUGGUAAUUCUAGAGCUAAUACAUGCUAAAAACCCCGACUUCGGGAGGGGUGUAUUUAUUAGAUAAAAAACCAAUGCCCUUCGGGGCUCUUUGGUGAUUCAUGAUAACUUAACGGAUCGCAUGGCCUUGCGCCGGCGACGGUUCAUUCAAAUUUCUGCCCUAUCAACUUUCGAUGGUAAGGUAUUGGCUUACCAUGGUUUCAACGGGUAACGGGAGAUUAGGGUUUGACUCCGGAGAGGGAGCCUGAGAAACGGCUACCACAUCCAAGGAAGGCAGCAGGCGCGCAAAUUACCCAAUCCCGACACGGGGAGGUAGUGACAAUAAAUACUGAUACAGGGCUCUUUUGGGUCUUGUAAUCGGAAUGAGUACAAUUUAAACCCCUUAACGAGGAACAAUUGGAGGGCAAGUCUGGUGCCAGCAGCCGCGGUAAUUCCAGCUCCAAUAGCGUAUAUUAAAGUUGUUGCAGUUAAAAAGCUCGUAGUUGAACCUUGGGCCUGGCUGGCCGGUCCGCCUCACCGCGUGUACUGGUCCGGCCGGGCCUUUCCUUCUGGUGAGCCUCAUGCCCUUCACUGGGUGUGUUGGGGAACCAGGACUUUUACUGUGAACAAAUUAGAGUGUUCAAAGCAGGCCUUUGCUCGAAUACAUUAGCAUGGAAUAAUAGAAUAGGACGUGCGGUCCUAUUUUGUUGGUUUCUAGGACCGCCGUAAUGAUUAAUAGGGAUAGUCGGGGGCAUCAGUAUUCAAUUGUCAGAGGUGAAAUUCUUGGAUUUAUUGAAGACUAACUACUGCGAAAGCAUUUGCCAAGGAUGUUUUCAUUAAUCAGUGAACGAAAGUUAGGGGAUCGAAGACGAUCAGAUACCGUCGUAGUCUUAACCGUAAACUAUGCCGACUAGGGAUCGGGCGAUGUUUCUAUCUUGACUCGCUCGGCACCU